rnacentral:misc_RNA from 1 species
GAAUGAAGAACGCAGCGAAAUGCGAUAAGUAGUGUGAAUUGCAGAAUUCAGUGAAUCAUCGAAUCUUUGAACGCACAUUGCGCCCUUUGGUAUUCCUUAGGGCAUGCCUGUUCGAGCGUCAUUUAAACCUUCAAGCUCAGCUUGGUGUUGGGUGACUGUCCGCUUCACCGCGGACUCGCCUCAAAAUUAUUGGCGGCCGGUACAUUGGCUUCGAGCGCAGCAGAAACGCGAACUCGGGCCCGUCGUAUUGGCUCCCAGAAGCUAUCUUCACAAUUUUGACCUCGGAUCAGGUAGGGAUACCCGCUGAACUUAAGCAUAUCAAUAAGCGGAGGA